GCCUGGCAUUGUGACCCAUGCAUGUAAUCCCAGCUACUCAGGAGGCUGAGGCAGGAGGAUCACAAGUUCAAAGCCAGCCUCAGCAAUGUAGUGAGACCCUGUCUCAA
rnacentral:sRNA from 1 species